rnacentral:rRNA from 1 species
GGGGAAUCUUCGGCAAUGGACGGAAGUCUGACCGAGCAACGCCGCGUGAGUGAAGAAGGUUUUCGGAUCGUAAAGCUCUGUUGUAAGAGAAGAACGAGUGUGAGAGUGGAAAGUUCACACUGUGACGGUAUCUUACCAGAAAGGGACGGCUAACUACGUGCCAGCAGCCGCGGUAAUACGUAGGUCCCGAGCGUUGUCCGGAUUUAUUGGGCGUAAAGCGAGCGCAGGCGGUUAGAUAAGUCUGAAGUUAAAGGCUGUGGCUUAACCAUAGUACGCUUUGGAAACUGUUUAACUUGAGUGCAAGAGGGGAGAGUGGAAUUCCAUGUGUAGCGGUGAAAUGCGUAGAUAUAUGGAGGAACACCGGUGGCGAAAGCGGCUCUCUGGCUUGUAACUGACGCUGAGGCUCGAAAGCGUGGGGAGCAAACAGGAUUAGAUACCCUGGUAGUCCACGCCGUAAACGAUGAGUGCUAGGUGUUAGACCCUUUCCGGGGUUUAGUGCCGUAGCUAACGCAUUAAGCACUCCGCCUGGGGAGUACGACCGCAAGGUUG